CUAAAAAUCUAGCCUAUCAACUUCUUAUACCUAUUUUACUAAUAAAUUUAAGCAAAACAUUCUCAACUUCUAGUAAAGGCGAUAGAAAAAAUUCUUAGAGCUUUAACUUAAGUACCGCAAGGGAAUGAUGAAAUAUUAUGAAAAAUUUAAGCAUAAAAAAGUAAAGGUUAACUCUUGUACCUUUUGCAUCAUGGUCUAGCAAGUCUUUAUCAAGCAAAGAGACUCUCUAGUUUGACCCCCCGAAACUAGGCGAGCUACUUCAAAACAGCCUUUUGGGCUAACCCGUCUCUGUAGCAAAAGAGUGGGAAGAUUUUUAAGUAGAAGCGAAAAACCUAUCGAGCCUAGAGAUAGCUGGUUAUUUAGGAAAAGAAUUUUAGUUCUGCCUUAAGCUUUUUUAUUACUAAUAACAAAUCUUUAAGCUUAAGAUUUAUUCCAACAGGGCACAGCCUAUUGGAAAAAGGAUACAGCCUAAAAAUAUGGGUAAGUUUUACUAUCUUAAUAAGUGGGCCUAAGAGCAGCCACCUUUUAAAAAGCGUUAAAGCUUAUUACACUUAACACAUUUAAUUCUAAUCAUUAACUCAAACCCUUUAUCAAUACUAAGUGAUUUUAUAUUAUUAUAAGAGACCCCAUGCUAGAACUAGUAACAAGAAAUUGCCUUUCUCCAAAAUGUAAGUUUAAACCAAAAUGGACAACCCACUGGUAGUUAACAGUAUUGAACUUAUUAUAACAACAUCCUUAGAAAAUACUAUUAUACCCCCUGUUAAUCUUACACAAGAACAUUUAUGGAAAAAUUAAAAGAAAAUGAAGGAACUUGGCAAAUUUUAGCUCCGCCUGUUUACCAAAAACAU
rnacentral:rRNA from 1 species